GUGGGGAAUCUUGCGCAAUGGGCGAAAGCCUGACGCAGCAACGCCGCGUGCGGGAUGACGGCCUUCAAGGUUGUAAACCGCUUUCAGCAGGGACGAAAAUGACGGUACCUGCAGAAGAAGCCCCGGCUAACUACGUGCCAGCAGCCGCGGUACUACGUAGGGGGCAAGCGUUGUCCGGAUUCAUUGGGCGUAAAGAGCUCGUAGGCGGUUCAGUAAGUCGGGUGUGAAAGCUCCGAGCUCAACUCGGAGAGGCCACCCGAUACUGCUGUGACUUGAGUACAGUAGGGGAGCGUGGAAUUCCUGGUGUAGCGGUGAAAUGCGCAGAUAUCAGGAGGAACACCAGCGGCGAAGGCGGCGCUCUGGGCUGUAACUGACGCUGAGGAGCGAAAGUGUGGGUAGCAAACAGGAUUAGAUACCCCAGUAGUCC
rnacentral:rRNA from 1 species